CUUGUGUAACAAAAUGUUUAUUCUCAUUGAAUAUCAAUCCAAUCAUACAAGAUUAUAAAUGAGUAUACAGCACAUGAAAAUAUUGUGCAACAUGUAUUAUUUUGUAAAAUGUAAUUUAACAACAUAAAAUCUUGGGCUACAACAUAGAGAACAUGGGACAUUAAAAACAAUUGUUGCACUUUACAAAACAAGUGCAGACGUUAAAUGUGUCCAUCCAAUUUAUAAAAAAUUAAGCCUUUAAAUUAGUUUACAGAUCUAAAGUUCCUUCUUCACAAUAAAAGGACAUACUGCAGAUUAUUUAUUUUCAAAAUGAGAAAAAUACAGCCCACCCCCAAAACAAACAAAAAACAACUAAACAAAGUUAAAGAAAAAAAAAAGCUCCCCCCAAAAAAAUAUACACCUCACAUAACAAAUAGAAGAGCAUCAAAAGUAUAAUUAAGUGAUCUUUUCGACAAAAUAUCAGAGUUAAAUUUUUUUUUAAAUUUCAAAAAAAAUUAGAAUCUGUGAAUUAAUUCAAAGGCUAAUCAAACAUACAUUCUCAUGUGAAUAAAAAUCACUUUUACAGAAUUGAUUAUUUGCCAACACUGGAAUUGAUCCUGUGAUUAGAGUUCAGAUCGCACAUGUUAUUUCCCAUAGAAUGGUGGUAAAUUUUUAUUGCCAAUAAAAAGCAAGCGGAAAGCACAAAUUUAUCUGUGCAUAAUUCGUGUAAAUUGUAAGUUUUUCAAAGAUUAAAUAACAUUAAAUCUUUUAUCUAAGUAAAUACUGGGUAUGACAUGAAUAGUUAUUUUCGUAUGCAAAUUGGAUAAAACACCUAUUACUUUCAACUCAUUGUGCUUUGCAUGGGCAGCAACCAAGUUGGUCCAGUUUGGAACCAGAUUACAAUUGGCCAAGGGAGACAACUUCAGAUAACUUUGUGUAAUAACAGAAUCAAAUUGGUAAUUGGCAAAUAGACCUUUUGCUAGAUAUACAUCUGCUCCUUAUAAUCAAUGAAUCAAGUAAAAUUUCAAAUACUGAACAUAUAAUGCAUCAACAAAACUAAUGAUUGAAAUUCGUUUCCGAAGUAUCAAAGAAUACUGUAUGCACAAAAUUAUCAUGGGCCUCACAUAAAAUGUUUUGGUCAAUCAUAAUGAGAUUUUACUUUCAAAUUGAUAAAAAUAAAUAAAACUUUCAAAUAUACAGCUAGUUAAAUAAUAAUGAAGAAAAAAAUAAAUAUACCAUUAUUUAUAUAUAGGCAACAUUGACAUAAAAUAAAAGCACCUAGCAACGAAAAAUACAAAAACAAAACCAGCAAAACAAGAAAUAGCACAAAAAUAUAUAUUAAUAUUAAAGAUGUGAGAGAAAGAAAAAAAAGAAGAAAUGAAAAAAAUUAAUGGUCGCUUCGUUUGGAUUUCAGUUAAAAGGAAUUAUAUUUAUAUGAAAUGGGCAUGGAUGCAUUAAAUGUACAAUUCUAUAAAUAGUAAAAUGUUGAAUGUACAAAACAAUGUACAUGUUUUAAAAGUACACAAAACACUUGAUUUUUACAAUAAAUUGUUGGACAUUACAACUUUCAACAAAUAUAUAUAUAUACAUUUAGAUAUGGACAGUAAAAGAUUUGAUCAAAAUUGCAUAUUUGUGAAAUCAACAGUUUAUAUUAUCUCUAACAAAUUUACCAAGUUGCCUCUUAUAAAUAUUCUUUUCUUGGAUCAUUACAGAAAAAAGAAAAAAAGUAUUGUAGAUUUUGCCCUUACUAUUAUUAAAUUAUUGCAAUCAUGAUGAAUUUGUUUACAACAACUUGGUACUUUUGUUAUAUAAAUAAAUAUAAUAAUAAAAAUAUCACAUUUAAUAGGGAACAUCUCAAAAGUUUUUCAUGAAGUUUUAACAUUGAUAUGUAUGAUUUUAUUUGUGUCCUUUGAUGAAGUUUCCAAUGAAAUUUUUAAAAUAAAUCUGAGAAGGGAGACAACUUCUAAUUUUUGUUGA
rnacentral:lncRNA from 1 species